GAGGCGGGCUGGACCUCUCGGGGUUACAGCCUUGCUGAAUUAUUCACCCUUGUCUUUUGCGUACUUCUUGUUUCCUUGGUGGGUUCGCCCACCACUAGGACAAACAUAAACCUUUUGUAAUUGCAAUCAGCGUCAGUAACAAAUUAAUAAUUACAACUUUCAACAACGGAUCUCUUGGUUCUGGCAUCGAUGAAGAACGCAGCGAAAUGCGAUAAGUAGUGUGAAUUGCAGAAUUCAGUGAAUCAUCGAAUCUUUGAACGCACAUUGCGCCCUUUGGUAUUCCAAAGGGCAUGCCUGUUCGAGCGUCAUUUGUACCCUCAAGCUUUGCUUGGUGUUGGGCGUCUUGUCUCUAGCUUUGCUGGAGACUCGCCUUAAAGUAAUUGGCAGCCGGCCUACUGGUUUCGGAGCGCAGCACAAGUCGCACUCUCUAUCAGCAAAGGUCUAGCAUCCAUUAAGCCUUUUUUUCAACUUUUGACCUCGGAUCAGGUAGGGAUACCCGCUGAACUUAAGCAUAUCAAUAAGCGGAGGAA
rnacentral:rRNA from 2 species